GAGUUUGAUCUUGACUCAGAACGAACGCUGGCGGCAUGCCUAACACAUGCAAGUCGAACGAGACCUUCGGGUCUAGUGGCGCACGGGUGCGUAACGCGUGGGAAUCUACCCUUGGGUUCGGAAUAACUCAGAGAAAUUUGAGCUAAUACCGGAUGAUGACGUAAGUCCAAAGAUUUAUCGCCCAAGGGAUGAGCCCGCGUAGGAUUAGCUAGUUGGUGAGGUAAAGGCUCACCAAGGCGACGAUCCUUAGCUGGUCUGAGAGGAUGAUCAGCCACACUGGGACUGAGACACGGCCCAGACUCCUACGGGAGGCAGCAGUGGGGAAUAUUGGACGAAUGGGCGAAAGCCUGAUCCAGCAAUGCCGCGUGAGUGAUGAAGGCCUUAGGGUUGUAAAGCUCUUUUACCCGGGAUGAUAAUGAUAGUACCGGGAGAAUAAG
rnacentral:rRNA from 1 species